rfam:Paracoccidioides sp. &apos;lutzii&apos; Pb01 unplaced genomic scaffold supercont2.4, whole genome shotgun sequence.
GGGCAAUUAGCUCAGUUGGUAGAGCGUUCGCUUUGCAUUCCCCCGCGUGCGAAAGGUCGUGAUUUCGAUUAUCACAUUGUCCA